ACUUUGGAAGACAUAAGCAUGGACAGAAAGCCAUGGGCAUCCUUCACCUGAAGAAACAAAGAAACUGAGCACUUGAGAUAUGUGAGGGCUCUUAGCCAGAUAGUCUGGUCACCCAUGCUGGAAAAGAGGCUUGUCCAGUGCUGGACUGUGUUCUGGCUGGGGACUUUGUGUCACACAAUGAGGACUGAAACAUGCUCCUGCAAUCUGGGCACAUCUUUCACUUUCUAGCUAGCCCUAUGAGAGGCAUGUCUCCUCUCUGUGAGCUUCAGGGAGGCAGUCAUCGGAACAUCUUUUCUCAGCAUAUUUCAGAACAACACAAUUUCAAACAUCAGACAACAAUGAGCACUAAAGUCUACUGCAAAUGCUAAUACUCACUAGUCACAGGGGCAGAUAAAGGCUCCUUUUCUUUCAUUUGUAAAAGGUGCAAUAACUAUUUUUAAUCCUGAAAUAACUAUUCUUUUUCCCCUCUCUUCUGUCUUAACCCUAACACCUUGAAUUUUUAGUCUUUUACUCUUUCUUGUCCUCUAAAGGCCAGCCUCGAGAAUUAUCCUGCAUGUAAAUAAGUGAAGUCCCUAAGACACUUGUGGUUUGUUGUCUCUGCUAUAGCAGCAGAUUGCAGUUGCUCAUUGUGCUUCAGAUGACUGCUGCAUAUGUGGUACCUGGUUGUUUCCCUAUUAGAGUUAACAACAGAAAAAGGAAAAUCUGCAUUCUCUAAACCACAUUUCUGUAUUAAUUUAGUGAAUGGAUGUUGCAUCAUGGGAAUACAAGCAUUUUGCUAUUUUUCCAAGGGCACUGCUACAUACUAUAUCAAUCUGACUCCUUGGCAUGUCUAAAAAGUGGACACAAAUCUGGGAAGUUACCAAGGAGCCUAUAUCUUGCACUUCCUAUAUAUGUAUAUAUUAUACACACACAGACU